GUGGGGAAUCUUGCGCAAUGGGCGAAAGCCUGACGCAGCCAUGCCGCGUGAAUGAUGAAGGUCUUAGGAUUGUAAAAUUCUUUCACCGGGGACGAUAAUGACGGUACCCGGAGAAGAAGCCCCGGCUAACUUCGUGCCAGCAGCCGCGGUAAUACGAAGGGGGCUAGCGUUGAUCGGAAUUACUGGGCGUAAAGGGCGCGUAGGCGGAUCGUUAAGUCAGGGGUGAAAUUCCAGAGCUCAACUCUGGAACUGCACUUGAUACUGGCGAUCUUGAGUGUGAGAGAGGUAUGUGGAACUCCGAGUGUAGAGGUGAAAUUCUGAGAUAUUCGGAAGAACACCAGUGGCGAAGGCGACAUACUGGCUCAUUACUGACGCUGAGGCGCGAAAGCGUGGGGAGCAAACAGGAUUAGAUACCCUAGUAGUCC
rnacentral:rRNA from 1 species